rnacentral:rRNA from 1 species
UGUAAGCGUAUACCAAAGUUGUUGCAGUUAAAACGCUCGUAGUCGGAAUUUGGCAGUUCCGGAUGUGUGCACGUCGUGUGCGCACUUCGCGGGGAUUGCUUUUGUGGUCUUGCGUAGGAUGAGGCACUUUUAUUAGUGAACGUCCUCACGCAACCACUUUUUACUGUGAGAAAAUCAGAGUGCUCAAAGCAGGCAUUUGCCGUGAGUGUAUUAGCAUGGAAUAAUAGAAUAGGACUUGGUUCUAUUUUGUUGGUUUGUUGGGACUGAGUAAUGAUUAAGAGGGACAGUUGGGGGCAUUUGUAUUUCGGCGCUAGAGGUGAAAUUCUUAGAUUGCCGAAAGACAAACUGCUGCGAAAGCGUCUGCCAAGGAUGUUUUCAUUGA